UAUGACACUGGUUUGUAUGACACUGUUUUGUAUGACACUGUUUUGUAUGACACGGUUUGUAUGACACUGUUUGUAUGACACGGUUUGUAUGACACUGUUUUGUAUGACACGGUUUGGAUGGCACUGCCUAAAUUGUAGGGGCAGCAGAGUGGAGGCCAGGGGAACUACCAUAUAAAUGUUGUAUGAGGUCUGUACAAUUAAUUUCUUCUCAUUGAUGUAGGAGGCGUUGAAAGGAUAUUCAAGGACUUGCUUCGUCGUUCCUUACUACUACAUAUAAUAUGAUUAAAUUAUAUAUUUACAUUAAAAACCAAAGUCUAUCAGAAUUCCAUUCAUUCCAAUAAAUGUUAUGCCCCUUGAUCUUCAAAAAUAGGACUUGGAAAUAUGGAAGUAUAGAUUAGCCAAAUUGUUUUACCUGAGCAUAACCCCAAAACAGAGGACUUAUUAGCCAGCCGUACUCUGUUGUUUAUGAUUUUGUUGUCAUGGAGGACUGAUUGGGCUCAUUGAUUUGAGUU
rnacentral:lncRNA from 13 species